GUCUCUUCGGGGAUGAUUAAACCGGCGCACGGGUGAGUAACACGUGAGUGACCUGCCUUUUAGACUGGAACAACUUACCGAAAGGUGAGCUAAUGCCGGAUGAGUUAUAUAAGUGCAUGUUUAUAUAGGAAAAGUUGGGGAGACCUGACGCUGAAAGAUGGACUCGCGUCCCAUUAGCUAGUUGGUAGGGUAAUGGCCUACCAAGGCGACGAUGGGUAGCCGGCCUGAGAGGGUGGCCGGCCACACUGGGACUGAGACACGGCCCAGACUCCUACGGGAGGCAGCAGUGGGGAAUUUUGCGCAAUGCUCGUAAGAGUGACGCAGCGACGCCGCGUGAAUGACGAAGGCCUUCGGGUCGUAAAGUUCUUUCGACAGGGAAGAAAAUGCCUAUAAGUAACUGUGUAUGUAUUGACGGUACCUGUAUAAGCAGCCCCGGCUAACUCCGUGCCAGCAGCCGCGGUAAUACGGAGGGGGCGAGCGUUGUUCGGAGUGACUGGGCGUAAAGAGCACGUAGGCGGUGUUGUAAGUCAUUAGUCAAAGACUAGAGCUCAACUUUAGUAAGGCUAGUGAUACUAUAAUACUAGAGUAUCUGAGAGGAUUGCAGAAUUCCUGGUGUAGCGGUGAAAUGCGUAGAUAUCAGGAGGAAUACCGUUAGCGAAGGCGGCAAUCUGGCUGGAAACUGACGCUGAGGUGCGAAAGCGUGGGUAGCAAACAGGAUUAGAUACCCUGGUAGUCCACGCUGUAAACGAUGGAUGCUAGGUGUUGGGCUUUUAAGUUCAGUGCCGCAGCAAACGCG
rnacentral:rRNA from 1 species